CUUAGAGAUACUAGAAUCGAAUUGGAUUUGAAAUAAAAAAUUUUGACCAAGAGCAUCAGCCCAGUAAGUUGAAGGUUGUGAGUUCGUGCCUCACCCGUGCACAUCAAAAAUUUUUAUUUCAAAUCCAAUUCGAUUCUAGUAUCUCUAAGCUGAAAAUUUAAAGAAUUCGUCGCGGAAUAUAGCGUUUCUCUAGAGAAUAGGGCUCCAUUCUUCGAUAA